rnacentral:piRNA from 1 species
CCAACUUGAACAACAACAUGGACGUCGA